rnacentral:rRNA from 1 species
UAAUACGUAGGGGGCAAGCGUUGUCCGGAUUUACUGGGCGUAAAGCGCGUGUAGGCGGAAGCGAAAGUCCGGUGUGAAAGCCCCCCGCUCAACGGGGGAAGGUCGCUGGAAACUGCGCUUCUUGAGGACGGCAGAGGGAAGUGGAAUUGCUGGUGUAGCGGUGAAAUGCGUAGAUAUCAGCAGGAACACCCGUGGCGAAGGCGGCUUCCUGGGCCGUGCCUGACGCUGAGACGCGAAAGCGUGGGGAGCGAACGGGAUUAGAUACCCCGGUAGUCCACGCCGUAAACGAUGGUCACUAGGUGUAUGGGGUAUCGACCCCCCAUGUGCCGCAGCUAACGCAAUAAGUGACCCGCCUGGGGAGUACGGCCGCAAGGUUG